GAAGGCGGCCCCUUGACAAAGACUGUCGCUCAGGUGGAAGCGUGGGGAGCAAGCAGGAUUAGAUCCCUGGUAGUCCCGCUGUAAAAUGAUGUCGAUUUAGAGGUUGUGGUUUUGAUCCGNGGCUUCUGGAGNUAACGCGUUAAAUCGACCGCCUGGGGAGUACGGCCGCAAGGUUAAAACUCAAAUGAAUUGACGGGGGCCCGCACAAGCGGUGGAGCAUGUGGUUUAAUUUGAUGCAACGCGAAGAACCUUACCUACUCUUGACAUCCAGCGAAUCCUUUAGAGAUAGAGGAGUGCCUUCGGGAACGCUGAGACAGGUGCUGCAUGGCUGUCGUCAGCUCGUGUUGUGAAAUGUUGGGUUAAGUCCCGCAACGAGCGCAACCCUUAUCCUUUGUUGCCAGCACGUAAUGGUGGGAACUCAAAGGAGACUGCCGGUGAUAAACCGGAGGAAGGUGGGGAUGACGUCAAGUCAUCAUGGCCCUUACGAGUAGGGCUACACACGUGCUACAAUGGCAGAUACAAAGAGAAGCGACCUCGCGAGAGCAAGCGGAACUCAUAAAGUCUGUCGUAGUCCGGAUUGGAGUCUGCAACUCGACUCCAUGAAGUCGGAAUCGCUAGUAAUCGUAGAUCAGAAUGCUACGGUGAAUACGUUCCCGGGCCUUGUACACACCGCCCGUCACACCAUGGGAGUGGGUUGCAAAAGAAGUAGGUAGCUUAACCUUCGGGAGGG
rnacentral:rRNA from 1 species